rnacentral:rRNA from 1 species
CAGCAGCCGCGGGAAUACGAAGGGGGCUAGCGUUGUUCGGAUUUACUGGGCGUAAAGCGCACGUAGGCGGAUCGAUCAGUCAGGGGUGAAAUCCCAGAGCUCAACUCUGGAACUGCCUUUGAUACUGUCGAUCUGGAGUAUGGAAGAGGUGAGUGGAAUUCCGAGUGUAGAGGUGAAAUUCGUAGAUAUUCGGAAGAACACCAGUGGCGAAGGCGGCUCACUGGACGCGUAUUGACGCUGAGGUACGAAAGCGUGGGGAGCAAACAGGAUUAGAUACCCCGGUAGUCCCUGUCUCUUAUAC